AAAUUGAAGAGUUUGAUCAUGGCUCAGAUUGAACGCUGGCGGCAGGCCUAACACAUGCAAGUCGAACGGUAACAGGAAGCGCUUGCUGCUUCGCUGACGAGUGGCGGACGGGUGAGUAAUGUCUGGGAAACUGCCUGAUGGAGGGGGAUAACUACUGGAAACGGUAGCUAAUACCGCAUAACGUCGCAAGACCAAAGAGGGGGACCUUCGGGCCUCUUGCCAUCGGAUGUGCCCAGAUGGGAUUAGCUUGUUGGUGGGGUAACGGCUCACCAAGGCGACGAUCCCUAGCUGGUCUGAGAGGAUGACCAGCCACACUGGAACUGAGACACGGUCCAGACUCCUA
rnacentral:rRNA from 1 species